AUAAGUAUAUUAAAUAUAUUAAAUAUAUUAAAUAUAGAAUAACCGCAUAAAAGUAAACCAUAAAUAUGUUAAUAUAAUCUACAAAACUUUGUACCACCAUGAACAUACAAUUAGACUAAAUCAUAACAAUAGCUUCAAUUCAAUUUAAUUCAGAAGAAGAACAAAUGAGAGAAUGAAAGAAUGAAUGAAUGAACCACUGAUCAGUGAAGUUAUUAAUUCAAGAAAUUAAAUAAUGUAGUAAAUAGGAAAGCGUUAAGGAUAAAGUGAAAGCCGUGACCACCAUAAUGUAAAUAAUAAAGUAACGCAGUGUGAUACAAUGCAAUGUGACGUCAUAUAACAUAAAACAAAUGAAAUAUAAUGAAAUAGAAUACAAAAUUCAAGAAGUGGGCUCACUAAAAUAUAACUGUGAAGAUUAUUAAUGAAAUACUCUAUUCCUUUACACAAGUAAAUUAUAAGUUAAAUUGUGAGCGGUAUUUGGUCAAUGAUAAAUGGUCAUGUCAAUGCAAAUGCAAAUAGAACCGAUUAUUGCAUGACAUUUCAAAAAAGUGGGUAAAUAGCAACUAAAUCAAAUCAAAUGUAGACUGCGUAGUUCAAUUAACGCUGUGCUACUGUAUAGCGUAGAGAUAAAUAAAUAACUCAACAAGUAGAGUAUUAAAAACUAACAUUUAAAAUGGUGAAUUAAACAGAAACCAUGCACCUUCAAAGCACUUGAAUAGACAAAACCAUUCAGCAUCACAGAAAAAUAACAAAAUUAAGAUAAAUUAAGAUAAAUUAAGAUAAAGUAAGAUAAAGAUAAAUCAAGUCAAAUCAAAUCACCAACUUCAGCUGAUCAGAGUGGAUGAAUGGAUGAAUGGAUCAAGGAAGGAAGAGAGAAACAGCAGAAUACCAGCAAGUACAAGUAAGAAUCACAACCCCAAUGUGUCAAAGCAGUAUCAAAGCCAGCAUGCAAGGACUAGUUAAAGGAAAUAACAAAUAAGAGAGCUGAAUUGCAACUGAAAAGGAAAAGAAAAGGAGAAAGAAAGGAAACAAGAAACAGCCCAUCGUCAUGGAAGAGCAACAUUAUGACCAGAGAGAGACAUCGUGGAUAAAUUGAAUUAAAGAAUAUCAAGAACAUCAAAAUGUCCAAUGAAUAUCAAGAAUGCACAGGCAAAUCAAAACCAAUCAACCAAUCAAAACCAAAUCAAGAAGCGAUAAUGAAAUAAGUAAAUAGCAAUAACAGUGAUAAUGUGGCACAGAUGAAUUAAUAUAUAUAAAUAUAAGUAUAUUAAAUUAUAAAAUAUAGAAUAAAGAAUAACCAUAUGGAAAUAAAUCAUAAAUAUAUUAAUACAAUCUACAGAACUACAGAACUUUGUACCAUCAUGAGUUAAAUAAAUAAACUAAGUCAUAACAAUUA